ACGGCUUUAAAGAUACCUGAAGAAAACCUGCGGAGCCAGAGGUGACAAUUCACUGAAUCUGAAUCACUUUAAUGAGCUGCAACAUAGAAUCCCCAGAAAAGGUGUGUGCUGACUUGAUCAGAGGAGCAAAGGAAAAGAAUCUCAAAGUGAAAAGACCAGCUGGAACGCCUAUCAAGGCUUCGAGAAUCACCACAAGAAAAACUCCUUGUGAAGGUUCUAACACACGGGAUCGUUUCCAGAUGAGAAUCCACAAGUGGCUCACUGACCUCCACAGUCCUUCUGAGAUUAAGCAGAUUACUUCCAUCAGUAUUGAGCCAGGAGUUGAGGUGGAAGUCACCAUUGCAGAUAUUUAAA
rnacentral:lncRNA from 1 species